UUUUAGAAUUUAAUUUAAAGUCUAACCUGCCCACUGAGUAUUUUAAAUGGCCGCAGUAUCUUAACUGUGCAAAGGUAGCAUAAUCAUUAGUCUUUUAAUUGAAGGCUGGAAUGAAUGGUUGAAUGAAAUAUUAACUGUUUCAUAAAAAUUGUAAAUAAAAUUUUAUUUUUUAGUCAAAAAGCUAAAAUAAUUUUAAAAGACGAGAAGACCCUAUAAAUCUUUAUAUUUAAGUAAUUCUAAUUAUUUAGAUAAAUUGAAUUAUGAUUACUUUAAGUAUUUUAUUGGGGUGAUAUUAAAAUUUAAUAAACUUUUAAUUUAUUAUUAACAUAAAUUAAUGAAUUAAUUGAUCCAUUUAUUAUGAUUAAAAAAUUAAGUUACUUUAGGGAUAACAGCGUAAUUUUUUUAGAGAGUUCAUAUUGAUAAAAA
rnacentral:rRNA from 1 species